rnacentral:rRNA from 1 species
AUUGAACGCUGGCGGCAGGCCUAACACAUGCAAGUCGAGCGGAGCGGCGGACGGGUGAGUAAUGCCUAGGAAUCUGCCUGGUAGAGGGGGAUAAAGUCCGGAAAGGGGCGCUAAUACCGCAUACUAUCCAUCGAGCCUACAUGGGAUUAGUUAGUUGGUGGGGUAAAGGCCUACCAAGGCGACGAUCCGUAACUGGUCUGAGAGGAUGAUCAUUCACACUGAAACUGAGACACGGCCCAGACUCCUACGGGAGGCAGCAGUGGGGAAUAUUGGACAAUGGGCGAAAGCCUGAUCCAGCCAUGCCGCGUGUGUGAAGAAGGUCUUCGGAUUGUAAAGCACUUUAAGUUGGGAGGCGUUACCAACAGAAUAAGCACCGGCUAACUUCGUGCCAGCAGCCGCGGUAAUAC